UACAGAGGGUGCGAGCGUUGUUCGGAAUUACUGGGCGUAAAGAGCGCGCAGGCGGUCGAUCAAGUCGCGUGUGAAAGCCCCCGGCUCAACUGGGGAGGGUCACGCGAUACUGAUCGACUCGAAGGCAGGAGAGGGUAGUGGAAUUCCCGGUGUAGUGGUGAAAUGCGUAGAUAUCGGGAGGAACACCAGUGGCGAAGGCGACUACCUGGCCUGUUCUUGACGCUGAGGCGCGAAAGCUAGGGGAGCAAACGGG
rnacentral:rRNA from 1 species